rnacentral:rRNA from 1 species
CAGUAGCCACGGUAAUACGGAGGGGGCUAGCGUUGUUCGGAAUUACUGGGCGUAAAGCGCACGUAGGCGGCUUGGUAAGUUAGAGGUGAAAGCCCGGAGCUCAACUCCGGAAUUGCCUUUAAGACUGCCGAGCUAGUAGGUGAGAGAGGUAAGUGGAAUUCCGAGUGUAGAGGUGAAAUUCGUAGAUAUUCGGAAGAACACCAGUGGCGAAGGCGGCUUACUGGCUCAUUCUAGACGCUGAGGUGCGAAAGCGUGGGGAGCAAACAGGAUUAGAUACCCCCGUAGUCCCUGUCUCUUAUAU